AUUGAACGCUGGCGGCAUGCCUUACACAUGCAAGUCGAACGGUAACGGGCCUUCGGGUGCCGACGAGUGGCGAACGGGUGAGUAAUGUAUCGGAACGUACCUUUCAGUGGGGGAUAACGUAGCGAAAGUUACGCUAAUACCGCAUAUUCUGUGAGCAGGAAAGCAGGGGAUCGCAAGACCUUGUGCUGAUUGAGCGGCCGAUAUCAGAUUAGCUAGUUGGUGAGGUAAAGGCUCACCAAGGCGACGAUCUGUAGCGGGUCUGAGAGGAUGAUCCGCCACACUGGAACUGAGACACGGUCCAGACUCCUACGGGAGGCAGCAGAGGGGAAUUUUGGACAAUGGGGGCAACCCUGAUCCAGCCAUGCCGCGUGAGUGAAGAAGGCCUUCGGGUUGUAAAGCUCUUUCGGCCGGGAAGAAAUCGUAUGGGUUAAUACCCUGUGCGGAUGACGGUACCGGCAUAAGAAGCACCGGCUAACUACGUGCCAGCCGCCGCAGUAAUAC
rnacentral:rRNA from 1 species